rnacentral:rRNA from 1 species
UAACAAGGUUUCCGUAGGUGAACCUGCGGAAGGAUCAUUAUUGAAUUCACUAACAAGGUUGUUGCUGGCUCCUCUGGGGCAUGUGCACGCCUUGUAAGUCAUUUCUACCACCUGUGAACCUUUUGUAGUCUCGGGGAAUGCUAAAGCUCAAAGGAAACUUUGGAUUUGAAUGCUGCAGGCUUGAAAAAGUCGGCUUCAUUCUACAGCUGAACCUGGGUCUAUGCUUUAUAUACCCCAAUUGUAUGUCUAUGAAUGUAAUUGAAGGGCUUUAACGCCUUUAAAUUUAUACAACUUUCAGCAACGGAUCUCUUGGCUCUCGCAUCGAUGAAGAACGCAGCGAAAUGCGAUAAGUAAUGUGAAUUGCAGAAUUCAGUGAAUCAUCGAAUCUUUGAACGCACCUUGCGCCCCUUGGUAUUCCGAGGGGCAUGCCUGUUUGAGUGUCAUUAAAUUCUCAACCUUAGAAGGCUUUUGAAGUCGUCUUAAGGCUUGGAUAUGGAGGCUGCGGGCUUGUUUCAAGUCGGCUCCUCUUAAAUGCAUUAGCUGGGUUUGCGCCUUCAGCCUAUUGGUGUGAUAAUAUCUACGCCUCUUGGGUCGUUAGCGUGUUUACUUCUCCAGCUUCUAACCGUCCUUUACCGGACAAUACUUGACCAUUGAC